rnacentral:ncRNA from 10 species
UAGCCAAGGAUGACUUGCCU